AACGAACGCUGGCGGCAGGCCUAACACAUGCAAGUCGAACGCCCUGGCAACAGGGAGUGGCAGACGGGUGAGUAACGCGUGGGAACGUGCCCUUCGGUUCGGAAUAACUCAGGGAAACUUGAGCUAAUACCGGAUACGUGCGAGAGCAGAAAGAUUUAUCGCCGAAGGAUCGGCCCGCGUCCGAUUAGCUAGUUGGUGAGGUAAUGGCUCACCAAGGCGACGAUCGGUAGCUGGUCUGAGAGGAUGAUCAGCCACACUGGGACUGAGACACGGCCCAGACUCCUCCGGGAAGCAGCAGUGGGGAAUAUUGGACAAUGGGCGCAAGCCUGAUCCAUCCAUGCCGCGUGAGUGAUGAAGGCCCUAGGGUUGUAAAGCUCUUUCGCCAGGGACGAUAAUGACGGUACCUGGAUAAGAAGCCCCGGCUAACUUCGUGCCAGCAGCCGCCGUAA
rnacentral:rRNA from 1 species